rnacentral:rRNA from 1 species
UACGGAGGGAGCUAGCGUUGUUCGGAAUUACUGGGCGUAAAGCGCGCGUAGGCGGCUUUGUAAGUUAGAGGUGAAAGCCCGGGGCUCAACCCCGGAACUGCCUUUAAAACUGCAUCGCUUGAAUCCGGGAGAGGUGAGUGGAAUUCCGAGUGUAGAGGUGAAAUGCGUAGAGAUGUGGAGGAACACCAGUGGCGAAGGCGACUCUUUGGUCUGUAACUGACGCUGAGGCGCGAAAGCGUGGGGAGCAAACAGG